rnacentral:rRNA from 1 species
UAGGGAAUCUUCGGCAAUGGACGAAAGUCUGACCGAGCAACGCCGCGUGAGUGAAGAAGGUUUUCGGAUCGUAAAACUCUGUUGUUAGAGAAGAACAAGGACGUUAGUAACUGAACGUCCCCUGACGGUAUCUAACCAGAAAGCCACGGCUAACUACGUGCCAGCAGCCGCGGUAAUACGUAGGUGGCAAGCGUUGUCCGGAUUUAUUGGGCGUAAAGCGAGCGCAGGCGGUUUCUUAAGUCUGGUGUGAAAGCCCCCGGCUCAACCGGGGGGGGUCAUUGGAAACUGGGGGACUUGAGUGCAGAAGAGGAGAGUGGAAUUCCAUGUGUAGCGGUGAAAUGCGUAGAUAUAUGGAGGAACACCAGUGGCGAAGGCGGCUCUCUGGUCUGUAACUGACGCUGAGGCUCGAAAGCGUGGGGAGCAAACAGG